GCAUAUCAAUAAGCGGAGGAAAAGAAACCAACCGGGAUUGCCUCAGUAACGGCGAGUGAAGCGGCAAGAGCUCAAAUUUGAAAGCUGGCUCCUUCGGGGUCCGCAUUGUAAUUUGCAGAGGAUGCUUCGGGUGCAGCCCCCGUCUAAGUGCCCUGGAACGGGCCGUCAUAGAGGGUGAGAAUCCCGUAUGGGGCGGGGUGUCUGCGUCCGUGUGAAGCUCCUUCGACGAGUCGAGUUGUUUGGGAAUGCAGCUCUAAAUGGGUGGUAAAUUUCAUCUAAAGCUAAAUACUGGCCGGAGACCGAUAGCGCACAAGUAGAGUGAUCGAAAGAUGAAAAGCACUUUGAAAAGAGAGUUAAACAGCACGUGAAAUUGUUGAAAGGGAAGCGCUUGCAACCAGACUCGUUCGCGGGGUUCAGCCGGGCUUCGGCCCGGUGUACUUCCCCGCGGGCGGGCCAGCGUCGGUUUGGGCGGCCGGUCAAAGGCCUCCGGAAUGUAGCGCCCUUCGGGGCGCCUUAUAGCCGGGGGUGCAAUGCGGCCAGCCUGGACCGAGGAACGCGCUUCGGCACGGACGCUGGCAUAAUGGUUGUAAACGACCCGUCUUGAAACACGGACCAAGGAGUCUAACAUCUACGCGAGUGUUCGGGUGUCAAACCCGUACGCGCAGUGAAAGCGAACGGAGGUGGGAGCCCCCUCGCGGGGCGCACCAUCGACCGAUCCUGAUGUCUUCGGAUGGAUUUGAGUAAGAGCGUAAAUGUGGGGACCCGAAAGAUGGUGAACUAUGCCUGAAUAGGGCGAAGCCAGAGGAAACUCUGGUGGAGGCUCGCAGCGGUUCUGACGUGCAAAUCGAUCGUCAAAUUUGGGUAUAGGGGCGAAAGACUAAUCGAACCAUCUGGUAGCUGGUUCCUGCCGAA
rnacentral:rRNA from 1 species